rnacentral:lncRNA from 1 species
AAUCUCUUAUUCUCUUUCCUGCAAUAUCACUGCCAGAGGAUCAAGUGUAGGUAUAUUUGUUUCAAAAUUUUCUUGCAUCUCAAUACUAUGCUUAUUAACAUGGUCUAAUGUUCUCUAUAUGUACUAAACCAUAGAUGAUGGUCUAAUGUCCUGUACAGAAGGUAAGAUGAUGAGAAUAUAUUGUACCAAAUUAUCAGUUAUGAAGUGAUUAUAAAGCUUGUAUAAAUGUUUUAUAUAGGCUUAUUAUUUAUUUGUUUACUGAUUAAUUUUUUAGAAACUUUUUGUAUGGGUUCUCUAUUUUAGUUUCAUUUGUCUUACCAAACAGUACAUCUGCCUUCUUUUGUUGUCUGUAUCAUGUCUCAUGUACUUGGGGUUGAGAGGAACGCAAGCCAACGUGAGAUUCACAAAGCUUUCCACAAGUAUGUUAUUCAUAAGAUUUUCUAUUUUAGCUUUGUAAAUUAUCCUGAGAUUGUCAUAACAACAUAGAAUUCCGAGGUUUCUUCCAGAUAGCUUUUCAUUUGUUAUGGUGCAUUAAUACUCAUCUUUGUUUCUAUUAUGUCCAUCUUUUUUGUGUGUAAAGCAUUUCUAGCUAGUAGCUAGCACCAUGCUGUCAAUAUAUGUUGUCAUUCAUGUUCAUCUGCAUGUGUUUCCUGAUUAAUACCACUGUUUUUUGCAUCUACAACAUAUUAAGAUCAAGUACUUGUUUAUGUAGAUUUAUCGAGCACGCCUGUGACAUUUCCGGGCUCUUUUAUUAAAAGAUAUAGUUAGACUACAAAUAUCUCAUCUUUGUUUUGAAUGCACCUGUGUGGCUUUGUUCUUUUCCAGUAUCAAUAUGGGAGUGGCAGCUGAUGUUCUUACUUUGCUUGAAACUGAGAGGGAGGCAAGAAGGUUGCGCUUAAGACUCGCAUAUAGGAUGGAUGAUGUUCUUAUUUAAAAUGUGUACAGGAUGAUGUUUUAGUACAUAAUGAUGUUUUAAAACCUUUUUCUUUUCAGAGCAUGAAUUCAGCUGCUAUAGUUAUGAUUUGGGUUUUUCUUUAGCAUUAUAGUAGAAUCCAAGUGUGUAUAUAUUUUCAUAUUGAUUGUAUGCAGAUGUUUGAAUCCAAGUGUUUGAAACCAAGUGUGUAUAUAUUUUCAUAUUGUUGCU